rnacentral:rRNA from 1 species
UACGUAGGGUGCGAGCGUUAAUCGGAAUUACUGGGCGUAAAGGGUGCGCAGGCGGCUCCGCAUGUCGGGCGUGAAAUCCCCGGGCUUAACCUGGGAAUUGCGUCCGAAACUAUGGAGCUGGAGUGUGGCAGAGGGAGGUGGAAUUCCACGUGUAGCGGUGAAAUGCGUAGAGAUGUGGAGGAACACCGAUGGCGAAGGCAGCCUCCUGGGCCAACACUGACGCUCAUGCACGAAAGCGUGGGGAGCGAUCCGG